rnacentral:rRNA from 1 species
AGCAGUAGCCGCGGUAAUACAGAGGGUGCGAGCGUUAAUCGGAUUUACUGGGCGUAAAGCGUGCGUAGGCGGCUUCUUAAGUCGGAUGUGAAAUCCCUGAGCUUAACUUAGGAAUUGCAUUCGAUACUGGGAAGCUAGAGUAUGGGAGAGGAUGGUAGAAUUCCAGGUGUAGCGGUGAAAUGCGUAGAGAUCUGGAGGAAUACCGAUGGCGAAGGCAGCCAUCUGGCCUAAUACUGACGCUGAGGUACGAAAGCAUGGGGAGCAAACAGGAUUAGAUACCCCCGUAGUCCUGUCUCUUAUACA